CUUCAAGCGAUACUGAAAUAGCUGAUUCGUUCUUUCUGGCUCAAUAUUUCAAGCAAGUUGGAAGUGCGCGGCGCGUUAAAAUUCGAGUUGUUAAUAGUUGGUCCUUAAAAGUUAGAGGAUAAUAAAUAAUAAAAGUCAAGUGUUAGUAAAAGUUAAUAGAAGGGUGCUGUGUGGCAGGUGAACGGAAUAGAUUCCACGUGGAUCGUGGAACAAAUUUGUGGAAAAAAGGCCUAGUGGGCCUUUUUUCCGUUCUUUAAGCUAAACCGGAGGCUCUUCGAACGUCAGGUUUUCCAACUUCCGAUAGCCCAAUUCGGGUGUAUCGUAUAUCCCUGAGCCAGAAACCUGCCCUGUGAUUUCUCCGUUGGAGUUAUUCGCAGCAGAGGGAUCCAAUUCGCACGAAGUGUCGUAUCCGGGACGUUGAUAGCAACCACGGAGGAAUCUAACCUCAAAAUUGGCAAAAAUAGAAGACGAGAGAACACCAGUGUCUGAUCGCCGCCAUUGUCCAAGUACCGACAUCGUUGGACCCAUUAUUCGAUCGUCGACUUUGUGGACACCAUCGUCUGAGCACCGGCAUCGUCGAACCCAUCACGCGAUCGCCAGUGUUGAACCAUCCACUGGCCCGUCGCUGACCGGACGUCUUCCGGACAUUACAGGAACCGUAACAGAUUCGCCAACCCGCAAACCGCUGACGAGCGAGUACAAUUACCAUCCCGUUCCAUGCAGUGGUUCCCCAUCAUCGUGAGUCAGCCCACACCCCAUCAAC